CUGAGUACGGCGGAACACGUGAAAUUCCGUCGGAAUCCGGGAGGACCAUCUCCCAAGGCUAAAUACUCCCUAGUGACCGAUAGUGAACCAGUACCGUGAGGGAAAGGUGAAAAGCACCCCGGAAGGGGAGUGAAACAGUUCCUGAAACCGUGUGCCUACAAGUAGUUAGAGCCCGUUAAUGGGUGAUAGCGUGCCUUUUGUAGAAUGAACCGGCGAGUUACGAUUUGUUGCAAGGUUAAGCGGAAAAAGCGGAGCCGUAGCGAAAGCGAGUCUGAAUAGGGCGCAUAAGUAACAGGUCGUAGACCCGAAACCAGGUGAUCUACCCAUGUCCAGGAUGAAGGUAAGGUAAUACUUACUGGAGGUCCGAACCCACGCACGUUGAAAAGUGCGGGGAUGAGGUGUGGGUAGCGGAGAAAUUCCAAUCGAACUUGGAGAUAGCUGGUUCUCUCCGAAAUAGCUUUAGGGCUAGCCUCGAGGUAAAGAGUCAUGGAGGUAGAGCACUGUUUGGACUAGGGGCCCUUCUCGGGUUACCGAAUUCAGAUAAACUCCGAAUGCCAUGUACUUAUACUCGGGAGUCAGACUGCGAGUGAUAAGAUCCGUAGUCGAAAGGGAAACAGCCCAGACCACCAGUUAAGGUCCCCAAAUAUAUGUUAAGUGGAAAAGGAUGUGGGGUUGCUUAGACAACCAGGAUGUUGGCUUAGAAGCAGCCACCAUUGAAAGAGUGCGUAAUAGCUCACUGGUCGAGUGACCCCGCGCCGAAAAUGUACCGGGGCUAAACAUAUUACCGAAACUGUGGAUGAACCUCUUUAGAGGUUCGUGGUAGGAGAGCGUUCUAAGGGCGGUGAAGUCAGACCGGAAGGACUGGUGGAGCGCUUAGAAGUGAGAAUGCCGGUAUGAGUAGCGAAAGAAGGGUGAGAAUCCCUUCCACCGAAUAUCUAAGGUUUCCUGAGGAAGGCUCGUCCGCUCAGGGUUAGUCGGGACCUAAGCCGAGG
rnacentral:rRNA from 1 species